UACGGAGGGUGCAAGCGUUAUCCGGAUUCACUGGGUUUAAAGGGUGUGUAGGCGGGUAUUUAAGUCCGUGGUGAAAUCUCUGAGCUCAACUCAGAAACUGCCAUUGAUACUAUUUAUCUUGAAUAUCGUUGAGGUUGGCGGAAUAUAUCAUGUAGCGGUGAAAUGCAUAGAUAUGAUAUAGAACACCGAUGGCGAAGGCAGCUAACUAAGCGAUGAUUGACGCUGAGGCACGAAAGCGUGGGGAUCAAACAGG
rnacentral:rRNA from 1 species